AUUGAACGCUGGCGGCAGGCCUAACACAUGCAAGUCGAGCGGCAGAACGGUACUUGCUCCUGGUUUCAGCGGCGGACGGGCGAGUAAUGCCUAGGAACCUGCCUGUCAGUGGGGGAUAACGUCCGGACACGGGCGCUCUUACCCCAUACGCCCUGACGGCGUACGUGUGGGAUCUUCGGACCUUCCGCCAUUGCGUGAGUCUAGGUCGCAUUAGCUAGUUGGUGGGGUAAAGGCCUACCAAGGCGACGAUCCGUAACUGGUCUGAGAGGAUGAUCAGUCACACUGGAACUGAGACACGGUCCAGACUCCUACGGGAGGCAGCAGUGGGGAAUAUUGGACAAUGGGCGAAAGCCUGAUCCAGCCAUACCGCGUGGGUGAAGAAGGUCUUCGGAUUGUAAAGCACUUUUGGUUGGGAGGAAAGGCAGUAGGUUAAUACCUUGCUGUUUUGACGUUACCAAAAGAAUAAGCACCGGCUAACUUCGUG
rnacentral:rRNA from 1 species